AAACCAACCGGGAUUGCCUCAGUAACGGCGAGUGAAGCGGCAAAAGCUCAAAUUUGAAAUCUGCGUAAGCCGAGUUGUAAUUUGAAGAUGGCUACUUUGGUAAUGGCUCUUGUCUAUGUUCCUUGGAACAGGACGUCACAGAGGGUGAGAAUCCCGUGCGAUGAGAUGUCCAUUACCGUGUAAAGUGCUUUCGAAGAGUCGAGUUGUUUGGGAAUGCAGCUCUAAGUGGGUGGUAAAUUCCAUCUAAAGCUAAAUAUUGGCGAGAGACCGAUAGCGAACAAGUACAGUGAUGGAAAGAUGAAAAGAACUUUGAAAAGAGAGUGAAAAAGUACGUGAAAUUGUUGAAAGGGAAGGGCUUGAGAUCAGACUUGGUAUUUUGUAUGGCUUGCUUUCGGGCGGGUCCUCUGCAGUUUACUGGGCCAGCAUCGGUUUGGGUGGCAGGAUAAUAGCAUAGGAAUGUGGCUCUACUUCGGUGGAGUGUUAUAGCCUUUGUUGAUACUGCCUGCCUAGACCGAGGACUGCGUCUUUUGACUAGGAUGCUGGCAUAAUGAUCCUAAGCCGC
rnacentral:rRNA from 2 species